CGGCGAGUGAAGAGGGAAAAGCUCAAAGUUGGAACCUGGUAGGCAUAGCUUACCCGGAUUGUAAACUAAAGUUUUCGAGUCGUUUAGUCAGCCAGGUAAAUAAGUCCUCUGGAAAGGGGCGACAUAGAGGGUGAAAUCCCCGUCUUUGGCCUGAGUUUUGAUUAGGCGUUUGGCUUGGAAACGAAGAGUCAGGUUGUUUGGGAAUGCAGCCUAAAAUGGGAGGUAAAUCUCUCCUAAAGCUAAAUAUUGACGAAAGACCGAUAGCGAACAAGUACCGUGAGGGAAAGAUGAAAAGCACUUUGAAAAGAGGGUCAAAAAGUACGUGAAAUUGCUGAAAGGGAACCGUAUGAAAUCAGACCUACUGGUAGGUAAUCAAUCUUUCCUUUGGGAAGGAUGCACUUGCCUACUAUGUAUGCCAGCGACAUUUUGGUUGGGAGGAAAAAAAUAAAGGAAAUGUAGCUUAGGUUUCGGCUUAGGUGUUAUAGUCCUUUAUAAAAUACUCUCGGCUGGAAUGAGGAACGCAGCAAACCGUAAGGCGAAGAUUUCAGGCGCUUAGAGGGAAUAAUUAGAGAAUUUCUGCUUCGGGUGGUGCUUUGAUUAUUACCUUUAACACGCUUGGAGUUCUUUUAAUU
rnacentral:rRNA from 1 species